CCCUUAGACGUUCUGGGCCGCACGCGCGCUACACUGGCGAAUGCAACGAGCUUAUAACCUUGGCCGAAAGGUCUGGGUAAUCUCCAAAUUUCGUCGUGAUGGGGAUAGAUUAUUGCAAUUAUUAAUCUUCAACGAGGAAUGCCUAGUAAGCGCAAGUCAUCAGCUUGCGUUGAUUACGUCCCUGCCCUUUGUACACACCGCCCGUCGCUCCUACCGAUUGAAUGGUCCGGUGAAGCGUUCGGACCGUGGCCUUUGGACGGUUCGCCGUCUGUUGGCUGCGGGAAGUUCGUUAAACCUUAUCAUUUAGAGGAAGGAGAAGUCGUAACA
rnacentral:rRNA from 1 species